CAUUGUGAGGUUGAGUAUGAAGUAAUCCUAAGGCAAACUCUCGGUCUGACGAACAGAAAUCACAUAUAAGGCAUAUGCAGAGCGGACGAGCUUGCUGCACAAAGCAAAGUCCAAUACUGUCCGAACUCUGCGGCGUAAACGUGGCAGAAGUAUGAGA
rnacentral:ncRNA from 1 species